GUCUGAAUAUGGGGGGCCCAUCCUCCAAGGCUAAAUACUCCUGACUGACCGAUAGUGAACCAGUACCGUGAGGGAAAGGCGAAAAGAACCCCGGCGAGGGGAGUGAAAAAGAACCUGAAACCGUGUACGUACAAGCAGUGGGAGCACGCUUAGGCGUGUGACUGCGUACCUUUUGUAUAAUGGGUCAGCGACUUAUAUUCUGUAGCAAGGUUAACCGAAUAGGGGAGCCGAAGGGAAACCGAGUCUUAACUGGGCGUUAAGUUGCAGGGUAUAGACCCGAAACCCGGUGAUCUAGCCAUGGGCAGGUUGAAGGUUGGGUAACACUAACUGGAGGACCGAACCGACUAAUGUUGAAAAAUUAGCGGAUGACUUGUGGCUGGGGGUGAAAGGCCAAUCAAACCGGGAGAUAGCUGGUUCUCCCCGAAAGCUAUUUAGGUAGCGCCUCGUGAAUUCAUCUCCGGGGGUAGAGCACUGUUUCGGCA
rnacentral:rRNA from 1 species